rnacentral:rRNA from 1 species
GAUGAACGCUGGCGGCGUGCCUAAUACAUGCAAGUCGAGCGAACAGACGAGGAGCUUGCUCCUUUGACGUUAGCGGCGGACGGGUGAGUAACACGUGGAUAACCUACUUAUAAGACUGGGAUAACUUCGGGAAACCGGAGCUAAUACCGGAUAACAUGUUGAACCGCAUGGUUCAACAGUGAAAGACGGUCUUGCUGUCACUUAUAGAUGGAUCCGCGCCGCAUUAGCUAGUUGGUAAGGUAACGGCUUACCAAGGCAACGAUGCGUAGCCGACCUGAGAGGGUGAUCGGCCACACUGGAACUGAGACACGGUCCAGACUCCUACGGGAGGCAGCAGUAGGGAAUCUUCCGCAAUGGGCGAAAGCCUGACGGAGCAACGCCGCGUGAGUGAAGAAGGUCCUCGGAUCGUAAAACUCUGUUAUUAGGGAAGAACAAAUGUGUAAGUAACUAUGCACGUCUUGACGGUACCUAAUCAGAAAGCCACGGCUAACUACGUG